AUUGAACGCUGGCGGCAGGCCUAACACAUGCAAGUCGAGCGGAGCGGCGGACGGGCGAGUAAUGCCUAGGAAUCUGCCUGGUAGUGGGGGAGAACGUCCGGAAACGGGCGCUAAUACCGCAUACUAUCAGAUGAGCCUAGGUCGGAUUAGCUAGUUGGUGGGGUAAAGGCAUACCAAGGCGACGCUCCGUAACUGGUCUGAGAGGAGGAUCAGCCACACUGGAAAGUAGACACGUACCAUGCGCCUACGGGAGGCAGCAGUGGGGAAGAUUGGACAAUGGGCGAGAGCCUUACCCAGCCAUGCCGCGGGUGUGAAGAAGGUCCUCGGAUGGUAAAGCACUUUAAGUUGGGAGGCGUUACCAACAGAAUAAGCACCGGCUAACUUCGUGCCAGCAGCCGCGGUAAUAC
rnacentral:rRNA from 1 species